rnacentral:lncRNA from 1 species
ACGCUUUCAAAUUUGUUCAGGUUUUUGAAAAUUGUUCUCUUUUUUCAAAUUUUUAUUCUCAAGAUUUAAAUAAUGUUCGUGCUUUAAAAAAUUAUUCACACUUAUAAAUUUGUUCAAGAUUUUCCAAAUUGUUAUUCGAAUUCGAAAAAUAUUUUUCCUCAAAUAAAAAAAGAAAACGAAAAAGGAAAGAAAAACGAACCAAAAAAAGGCAUCAAAGAAG